rnacentral:rRNA from 1 species
UACGUAGGGUGCAAGCGUUUAAUCGGAAUUACUGGGCGUAAAGCGUGCGCAGGCGGUUUGGUAAGACAGAUGUGAAAUCCCCGGGCUUAACCUGGGAAUUGCAUUUGUGACUGCCCGGCUAGAGUGUGUCAGAGGGGGGUAGAAUUCCGACGUGUAGCAGUGAAAUGCGUAGAGAUGUGGAGGAACACCGAUGGCGAAGGCAGCCCCCUGGGUCAAGAUUGACGCUCAUGCACGAAAGCGUGGGGAGCAAACAGG